rnacentral:lncRNA from 1 species
GUAGUUCCCAGGCCGGUGUUCCCGUAUGGUAAGGUCUCACUCUGUCAUGCAUGAUGGACUGCAGUGGUGCAAUCAUGGCUCACUGUAGCUUCGACCACCCUGGCUCCGGUCAUCAUCCUACCUCAGCCUCCCAGGUAUGUGGGAUUACAGGUAUGUGCUAACAUGCUCAGCUAAUUUUUAAUUUUUUGUGGAAACAGGAUUUUGCCAUGUUGCUCAAGAUGAUCUCAAACUCCUGGCCUCAGGCAAUCCUUCUGCCUCAGCCUCCCAUCCUUCCCCCACAUACUGAGGCAAAGAUACAGGUGUGAACCACUGAAACUAUCAAAAGGGAAAAUUACAACACCUUUACUUAUACAGAUAAUUGGCUUUUAUUUGCAAGUCAUGAAGGAGCAUCCUCCAUUCUACAAAAUGGAGUGAUAGAUCCCACUGGCAAGUAGUAGAACGGUGGAUUUUGUAUGGUGAGAGCAAAGAUAUGAAACAACAGAAAAAUGACUAGUUGACAUGAGGUUACUUUUUUGAAAGGGAUAAAGCAGAGUAUGGUUCGUUAUUGCACUGAAUUGGGUAGACUGUAAUCUCUUGUUUUCAGAAAAAAAAGAUGGCUUUCAGGAUCUAUCUCUUUCCCUCAUAUUUCAGAUUAAUUUACCUGAUAUUAUGUGAAACUUAGCAUGAGUGACUCCAUUUUAGUUUGACCUGGUCUGUUGCUGCCUAAUUUUGGAGCUCAAUACAAAACCAUGGCCCCAUCAUUUUUGUUUGGCAGCACUGAAAACUAAAAU